rnacentral:rRNA from 1 species
AGCAGCCGCGGUAAUUCCAGCUCCAAUAGCGUAUAUUAAAGUUGUUGCAGUUAAAAAGCUCGUAGUUGAACUUCGGGGUUUACCCAUUGGUCAGGCUUAAUUGUCUGCACUGGUGAGAUGGAUCUCUACCUUCUGAGGAACUUUCAUGCCAUUUAUUUGGUGUGAUGGGAAAUCAGGACUGUUACUUUGAAAAAAUUAGAGUGUUUAAAGCAGACUAUCGUCUGAAUACAUUAGCAUGGAAUAAUGAAAUAGGACGGACUGAUUCUAUUUCGUUGGUUUCUAGGAUCACCGUAAUGAUUAAUAGGGAUAGUUGGGGGCAUUAGUAUUCAAUUGUCAGAGGUGAAAUUCUUGGAUUUAUUGAAGACUAACUACUGCGAAAGCAUUUGCCAAGGAUGUUUUCAUUAAUCAAGAACGAAAGUUAGGGGAUCGAAGACGAUCAGAUACCGUCGUAGUCUUAACCAUAAACUAUGCCGACUAGGGAUCGGACGAAGUUAAUUUUAUAAUGACGCGUUCGGC